rnacentral:lncRNA from 1 species
UAUUGUCAUUAGUAAAUGUGGAAGUAUGACCUGCUUUAAGUUCAGAUUUGUUAGAAGAAAGACGAAAUAUGGUGCUUAAAAUUCUGUGCAUUGUGUUAUUUGAUUGGGAUUUUUUAUGAAAAAAAGUGAAAUAAUUUGUUCAGAGGAGAGAGAUAAUCUCAGCCCUUUAAAAUUCAUUUUUUGGGAUUUAUAAUAAUAUGGUUUAGUUAUUUAUGAAGCGAUGAAUAAUGAGUUAGGAUAAUAAUUUUAUAGAAUUAUAUUUGAAAUCCAAGGCAUGGAAGACAUCGUCUUGUUUUAGUGCUAUUUUACAAAUGAUAUCAACGGUAGUGAUGUUAUAUUAAUUUCAGGAUGCAUUAUAGUGGUGUUUUACAUUUUAUGAUUAUGAGUAAGAAAAAUCGUCCAUUGUUUUUACCAAAUGUAUUAUUUUACUG